UACAGAGGUCUCAAGCGUUGUUCGGAUUCAUUGGGCGUAAAGGGUGCGUAGGCGGCGCGGUAAGUCGGGUGUGAAAUUCGGAGCUUAACUCCGAAACUGCAUUCGAUACUGCCGUGCUUGAGGACUGGAGAGGAGACUGGAAUUUACGGUGUAGCGGUGAAAUGCGUAGAUAUCGUAAGGAAGACCAGUGGCGAAGGCGAGUCUCUGGACAGUUACUGACGCUGAGGCACGAAGGCCAGGGGGAGCAAACGGGG
rnacentral:rRNA from 1 species